ACAUGCCUACAAAAUAACGUUAAUGCACCGGAUCCCAUUAGAACUCUGUAGUUAAGCGUGCUCAUGCUAGAGUAGUAUUAGGGUGGGUGACUGUCUGGGAGGUCCUAGUGUUUUACAUGCC
rnacentral:rRNA from 1 species